ensembl:lncRNA novel transcript
CUCAGCCUCCCGAGUAGCUGGGACUACAGGCGCCCGCCAUCACGCCCGGCUGCUUUUUUUGUUUUAGUAGAGAGGAGGUUUCACCGUGUUAGCCAGGAUGGUCUCAAUCUCCUGACCUCGUGAUCCGCCCGCCUCGGCCUCUCAAAGUGCUGGGAUUACACGCGUGAGCCACCGCGCCUGGCCUGAAGAAAUAGGAAGAAGAAAAGCUUUUUGAAUGAAUCACUUCUCAUCUUCUCCGAAGUUGGAAGCAUCAAGAAUCUAAAUAAGCAUUUAUGAUGGCUGGCAUGAAUAUGCGGAAGAUAGAAUGGGAGUCCUAGUUGACCUUCAUAUAAUUUUUAGAAGAUGGAGCACUUCAACUUCUUCCACUCAUGAAAAGAGAGGUGACAGGUGAAGACAGAACAAGAAAACAAACCAAGAAUUUCCCCUCACCAGCCACCAGCUCUGCCAGCAACUUGAUCUUAGACUUCCCAGCCUCCGUAACGUCUUCCUCCUAAAAACCUGUAACCUCAAUCUAAUCAUGAGAAAAGACAUCAGGCAAAUCCCAACUGAGGGAGAUUUUACAUAGUACCUGAGCAGUACUCCUCAAAACUGUCAAGGUCAUCAAAAACAAAGAAGUAUGAAAAACUGUCACAGCCAAGAGGAACUUAAGGAAACAUAAUAAUUAAAGCCUCUGCUUAUAAUCUGUCAUGGAUUGGAAAACUAGAAAAAACAGUUUACAGAGUAUAACAAACUUUGGAGGAGUUAAUCGACUCUAAGUAAAAGAGUAUCUAGCACGGCUGUGGAACAAAGGAGAGACUCACAAACUGUUGAAAGAAUAAAUGAAUGAAUGAAUUCUGUUCAUGAGCUUUAAUAAAACAGCUCUGAGUAGUAACAGUGGAUCAAAUUUAGGCUUCUUGAUGCAGGCAUGGUGUAGAUUACUACUUCUGUAUUGUCCCAGGAGCUCAGCACAUUCCUGCAGAGAUGAUAGGAGCUCAUCUGAUACUUGUCAGCUUUGAAUAAACUCCAGUCCCCAAGAGAGAGAAUGAGAAUCACCGGAAUACGAAACUUCCCUGUUGGACUUCCCAACAUUCUUGAAUGCACCAAGAUAGCCUCUUGCUGUGAGAUUAAUAAAUGAAUAAAUGCCUCCAUAUUUUUCAAAUCUGUGAAGUUAACAACAUGUAGAUUUUUUUGCAUAUUUAAAAACUGCAACUAAAUCUUAAUGCCUCUGAAGCAGAUGGAAGAAAAUAAUAGGCUUCCAUUAACUGUGUCAAAUUGUAUAGGUCUUGGCCAUCACUGGUCCUGUUGUGAUGAAGGUUUUUUGCCCUUGGAUAUAAUUUAAUUUUCAAUUCUUCUAAUUAUGGUACUUCAGAACAUCAAUAUUUGAGAUGAACUUCUCUAGUGUCAAGGACUGAUUUGAGUUGUGUAAACCCUGAAUAUCUGAGACAGGUCUCGAUUAUUUUAGAAAGUUUAUUUUGCCAAGGUUGAGGAUGUGUGCCUGUGACACGGCCUCGGGAGGUCCUGAGGACAUGUGCUCAAGGUGGUCAGAGCACAGCUUUGCUUUAUACAUUUUAGAGAGACAUGAGACAUCAACCGACAUAUGUAAGAUGAACAUUGGUUCCAUCUGGAAAGGCGAGACAACUUCAAACGAGGAGGGGGCUUCCAGGUCAUAGGUAGAUAAGAGACAAAUGGCUGCAUUCUUUUGAGUUUCUGAUUAGCCUUUCCAAAGGAGGCAAUUAGAGUGAGCAAAAUGAACAAAAUCAAUUAUUUUGAUUCUGAACAAAAUGGGAGGCUGGUUUUCCCUAAGCAGUUCCCAGCUUGACUUUUCCCUUUAGCUGAGGGAUUUGGGGGGCCCAAGAUUUAUUUUUCUUUCACCGUUGUAUCAAACUACACAGGCGGCCUUGGAAACCAUCACAGUUGAGAGUAGGUAACGCCCAUUUGUUGCAUAGUUUUGUGCUCCACACUCUUAUCUACAAAAUUAUGAAUUUUUUUACAUAUAUUAAUUUCAGAAAAACUAAAAAUAAAACAAAGUAGUUUCAAA